UACGGAGGGUGCAAGCGCUGUUCGGAAUCAUUGGGCGUAAAGCGCGUGUAGGCGGCCUGGUAAGUCGGGUGUGAAAUCCCGGGGCUCAACCCCGGAACUGCAUUCGAAACUGCCUCGCUAGAGUCCCGGAGAGGAAGGCGGAAUUCCCGGUGUAGAGGUGAAAUUCGUAGAUAUCGGGAGGAACACCAGCGGCGAAGGCGGCCUUCUGGACGGUGACUGACGCUGAGACGCGAAAGCGUGGGGGACAAACAGG
rnacentral:rRNA from 1 species